CCUACGGGAGACUGCAGUGAGGAAUAUUGGUCAAUGGGCGAGAGUCUGAACCAGCCAAGUAGCGUGAAGGAUGACUGCCCUACGGGUUGUAAACUUCUUUUAUAUGGGAAUAAAAUGAUGCACGUGUGCCUUUUUGUAUGUACUUUCUGAAUAAGGAUCGGCUAACUCCGUGCCAGCAGCCGCGGUAAUACGGAGGAUCCGAGCGUUAUCCGGAUUUAUUGGGUUUAAAGGGAGCGUAGAUGGAUUGUUAAGUCAGUUGUGAAAGUUUGCGGCUCAACCGUAAAAUUGCAGUUGAUACUGGCAGUCUUGAGUACAGUAGAGGUAGGCGGAAUUCGUGGUGUAGCGGUGAAAUGCUUAGAUAUCACGAAGAACUCCGAUUGCGAAGGCAGUUCACUAAACUGCCACUGACAUUGAGGCUCGAAAGUGUGGGUAUCAAACAGGAUUAGAUACCCUGGUAGUC
rnacentral:rRNA from 1 species